rnacentral:rRNA from 1 species
GGGCCCGCACAAGCGGUGGAGCAUGUGGUUUAAUUCGAUGAUACGCGAGGAACCUUACCAGGGCUUAAAUGUAGUGGGACAGGUCUAGAGAUAGACCCUUCUUCGGACUCAUUACAAGGUGCUGCAUGGUUGUCGUCAGCUCGUGCCGUGAGGUGUCAGGUUAAGUCCUAUAACGAGCGCAACCCCUAUCGUUAGUUGCCAGCGAGUAAUGUCGGGAACUCUAACGAAACUGCCAGUGCAAAACUGUGAGGAAGGUGGGGAUGACGUCAAAUCAUCACGGCCCUUACGUCCUGGGGCUACACACGUGCUACAAUGGCCGGUACAGAGAGCAGCCACUUCGCAAGAAGGAGCG